rnacentral:rRNA from 1 species
AUUGAACGCUGGCGGCAGGCUUAACACAUGCAAGUCGAGUGGAGAUGAGGUGCUUGCACCUUAUCUUAGCGGCGGACGGGUGAGUAAUGCUUAGGAAUCUGCCUAUUAGUGGGGGACAACAUUCCGAAAGGAAUGCUAAUACCGCAUACGUCCUACGGGAGAAAGCAGGGGAUAUUCGGACCUUGCGCUAAUAGAUGAGCCUAAGUCGGAUUAGCUAGUUGGUGGGGUAAAGGCCUCCCAAGGCGACGAUCUGUAGCGGGUCUGAGAGGAUGAUCCGCCACACUGGGACUGAGACACGGCCCAGACUCCUACGGGAGGCAGCAGUGGGGAAUAUUGGACAAUGGGGGGAACCCUGAUCCAGCCAUGCCGCGUGUGUGAAGAAGGCCUUAUGGUUGUAAAGCACUUUAAGCGGGGAGGAGGCUACUGAGACUAAUACUCUUGGGUAGUGGACGUUACUCGCAGAAUAAGCACCGGCUAACUCUGUGCCAGCCGCCGCGGUAACAC